rnacentral:lncRNA from 1 species
UUUUCCUUUAAUUUAGAUAUCUUUAAUGCACCUAUAUUUAAUUUACUUAUAAAACCACAGUUAUUCGAUGAUACACUUUCGUUUAAAUGUUUGAAAGAAAGACGAUGAACAUAAUAUUUGCACAAGUAUAUAUAUAUAUAUAUAUAUCAUGAACUAAAGGGUAUUACUAAAUUCUUAAAUUGAAAAUAGUUACUGAACAUACAGAGGGGGGCAUUAAAAAAUGUGUUAAGAAAAUCAGAAAAAAAAUAAAAAAUAUAUGAAAAAUAAAACAACAGUAAACAUACAACUCUAUACAGAAAAUUUGAGCCUGAGAAACAACCAACUCAAACAAAAAUGGGUGCUCUCAUGAGCUCUGAAAGGGUUAGCAGAUUAUGGUUCACUAGUGGCACCUGUGAUGUUUUCCUCAAAUUAACAUUCGAUGAUAAGUCUCAUACGUUGAUGUGAAAAGAAAAGUUUUAACAAACGUAUUAGUUACC